rnacentral:lncRNA from 1 species
CUUUAUUUGAGAUGGAGACUUGUGUCGCUCAUCCCGACGUCAGGUUCCUGGGCUGAAGCAGUCCUCCUGCUUCAGCCUCCCAAGUGCUGGGACUGUUGGCACGGGCCACCAUGCCUGGCUCUUAGCAGAUUUUUGUAGGAAGGGCUACAGAAAAGCACGAAGGGAAUUGGAACAGGAGGGAGUAGCCAGGACAAGUGAAAUAUCACCGAGGACACUGAACCUCCCCGCUCUGAGCACUGGCUCCUGGAGGCUGUUUGUCUACAGGAUUGCUAUUCUAAGUCUACGGGAAUGAACGGGUUGCCAUUGCAUAUAAGGAAUGUGCUUCUCAGACUUUCACUUGAUGGCACACAUGAAAUCAAGACUGUAAUUUGGCCUAUGACAACUUCAUGGAAAACAAACACAUUGUCAAUGUACAAAAAAAGGUUGUUAAAAAUGUAUAUAUGAAAUGUAAAGAGCUACUACCACAGAAUCAAACACUCAGUGUCUGUCACCAGGCCUCGGGCAUAGGCCUUUGCCGACACCCCCAAGCCCUGUGUCUGCCCUUCUGAUCUCAUUUACCUCUCUCCCCC